rnacentral:rRNA from 1 species
GAUGAACGCUGGCGGCGUGCCUAAUACAUGCAAGUCGAACGCGAGAGGAGGGAGCUUGCUCCCUCUGAUCGAGUGGCGGACGGGUGAGUAACACGUAGGCAACCUGCCCAUCAGCCGGGGAUAACUGCGGGAAACCGUGGCUAAUACCGGAUAAUCCUCUCCACCGCGGGGUGGGGAGUUGAAAGGCGGUUUCGGCUGUCGCUGAUGGAUGGGCCUGCGGCGCAUUAGCUGGUUGGCGGGGUAACGGCCCACCAAGGCAACGAUGCGUAGCCGACCUGAGGGGGUGAUCGGCCACACUGGGACUGGGACACGGCCCAGACUCCUGCGGGAGGCAGCAGUAGGGAAUCUUCCGCAAUGGACGCAAGUCUGACGGAGCAACGCCGCGUGAGUGAAGAAGGGUUUCGGCUCGUAAAAACUCUGUUGUUAAGGAAGAACGCCAGGUAGAGUAACUGCUACCUGUGUGACGGUACUUAACCAGAAAGCCACGGCUAACUACGUGCCAGCCGCCGCGGUAA